rnacentral:lncRNA from 10 species
CAGAGAACACCAAACAGUAUAAAUAUAAAAAUAUCUACAUGUAGCCAUAUCGUAUUCAAACUGCAGAAAAUCAAAGACAGAGAAAAGACUUCAGAUAGACUCAUCAUCAUCAUCCUUCAACAGUCACUGCAUGUGAUGUUGGAUGAUUUCCUCUUGGGGUUGGUUGGUCAACCAUAAUGGAUAUCAUAGCCACAAUCUUACCAUGCCUUCUUCAUCUCUGACUCUAAGGAGUCACCUUCCUUUCCACUGUUGCCUGGUUCUGUAGUCUGUAACAGAUUCAUAAGCUUUGUGCAGUGGCAGUAAGGUAGCCAAUGAGGUUUAUUUGAGGCGCAAUUAUUGCUAAUUGAAACAGAUUCGUAGUGCACAGAGAGUGGGAUUUGUAGUUAACUACAUCUAGAUUUUUAAAUCCCCACCCCACUGUUUACCAGUUGGAUAAACUUGGGCAAACCACUCUCUGAGUGACUCUCUUCAUCUGAUUAAAUGAAGAUAUUAGCAGUUCAUAGGACUGUUGUGACAAAGCAGGUCACCAACAAAUGGGAGCUGGAUGCUCAUAGUUUUUUUUUUUUUUUUGAGAUAGAAUCUCCCUCUGUCACCCAGGCUGGAAUGCAGUGGAGGGAUCUCAGCUCACUGCAGCCUCUGUCUUCCCGGUUCAAGCGAUUUUCCUGCCUCAGCCGCCUGAGUAGCUGGCUCAUUGCUUUUCUUCUGACUUGCCCUAACUUUCAGGUAUCUGAGGCGGUUCAAGGGGUGCUGGUUUUCUUCACAAGACUGUCCUUUCACUGGUCCCAGAAUCUUGCUUUCUGUUCAUAAUUCCUGCCUCCUCUCUGGCCUUUUCUCUUUCCUCAUGUGGAUGUUUGGGGUCCCAUUAUUUUGCUUCUUGAUUCUGUUUCUGUGACACCACUAGUUCAGGAGUGGUGACUUACCCUCUCCACUGCCCCAGCUCGGUUCUGAUUUGAGCUCCACCCCUGUCAGUUCCCUCCAUAGCUGGCCUUGUAAACUUGGCAAAGUCACGUAAAGUCCUGUGCCAUACGUGUGCUUUUUUACAGCAGGUGCCCAUCAGACUGAAACGUACUGACCAGAUGAGGGAGGAGAUGGCCUUUGCCUCAUAAAUGUCAUAAAAGGAUGGAAAAUUGAAAGCAAUGAACAGAGAACCCUGGAAAAAAUCAUGAUUUUUUUCCUCCUGAAAAGACUCUUCACUGUCAAAAAGAGUAAGGCAAAAAUAUAUAGUUCAAAGCACUUAGAAGCAGAAUUAUCUCUAAGGAGAGUACUUUUAAUUUUGGAUGUCAAUGGCUCCUUUAUAGAUUUUGUGCUUUUGAAUGAAUUUGUUCAGUAGGAAUUUCGGGAAGGCUGGCUACAUGGAGAAUUAAUCAUACAUAUAAGCCUUUGAAUGUGAGUACCUUUACUAUCUUAAUAUGGCCAUUAUUUUCAGAUGGUAAUACAUGUUCACUGUAGAAAUCUAGAAAAUACAAAAGCCCUUGAAGAGAAAAUAACCCAGAAAUAAUCCUAACAUUGUGGUAUAUUUCCUUGUCAUUUAUUUUUCUUUACAACAUUUGGAUCAGAUUUUACUCAUAGUUUUAUAUCUUACUUUUUGCACUUACCAGUAUCUGUUUGAGUAUUUCACUACAUUCUUAAAUAUAACACCAACAUGUUAAUUUU